GCGCGAGCAGGUGCGAAAGCAGGUCAUAGUGAUCCGGUGGUUCUGAAUGGAAGGGCCAUCGCUCAACGGAUAAAAGGUACUCCGGGGAUAACAGGCUGAUACCGCCCAAGAGUUCAUAUCGACGGCGGUGUUUGGCACCUCGAUGUCGGCUCAUCACAUCCUGGGGCUGAAGUAGGUCCCAAGGGUAUGGCUGUUCGCCAUUUAAAGUGGUACGCGAGCUGGGUUUAGAACGUCGUGAGACAGUUCGGUCCCUGGUGUUCGGGUUGUCAUGCCAAUGGCACUGCCCGGUAGCUAAAUGCGGAAGAGAUAAGUGCUGAAAGCAUCUAAGCACGAAACUUGCCCCGAGAUGAGUUCUCCCUGACUCCUUGAGAGUCCUGAAGGAACGUUGAAGACGACGACGUUGAUAGGCCGGGUGUGUAAGCGCAGCGAUGCGUUGAGCUAACCGGUACUAAUGAACCGUGAGGCUUAACCUUACAACGCCGAAGCUGUU
rnacentral:rRNA from 1 species